rnacentral:misc_RNA from 1 species
AUAGAUGAAAAGUGGUUCAUACGUGCACAAAUCUUAGAAAAUAAAUAGUUCUCAAACUGUUCACAAAUAAUGAGUGCAAAAUACACAAAAAAUACAGACCAAAUUGCACAGCUCUUUAAGCUAUUAUUAAGUAGAAAAAAAAGAAUUCCUACUUCUACAAACAGAUCAUAACACCAAAAGUGGCAGCUGUGGUGUCAUGAAUAACAAUACACAUAUUAGAUCUCUGACUUUAGGCUUUAGCUGUCUUGGUCUUCAGAAACCACACACAGUGCGGUAAGAAUGGAGUUAACUUCACUCGGCUCUAGACUGCCCAGCUCGGGAAGACAAGAUAAUGCCAACAAUAAGCCCAUAAAGAGCCAAGGCUUCAGCGAAAAUGAGAAUGAGGAUCAUUCCGACAAAAAGCUUGGGUUGUUGUGCAUUAGCCCUAACACCAGCAUCUCCAACAAUACCAAUAGCCAUUCCAGCAGAAAGACCAGCAAGACCACAAGCAAGUCCAGAUGAGAGAUGAGCAUAGCCAUCAAAUAGGUAAUACGACUUUGUUUUGGGGUUAAUCCCAGUACUGAUGAUCACAGCAAUAAUCAAGCCAUAAAUACCUAACACACCAGCCAUAACCACUGGCACAAUGGACUUCAUCACCAACUCUGGCCUCAUCACUCCCAUUGACGCCACUCCAACACCACUCUUUGCUGUUCCAUAAGCUGCCCCCAUACAUGAGAAGACGAGGGCAGCGGCGGCGCCAAGGAAGCCGAAGAAGGGAGCAGUUUCAUCUCCGGCAAAGUUCGACAUUUUCGUUAGGAUUUGGAUCUGAGAAUUUUGAGUUUUGGAGUUGAAUAGAUC